UUUAGAACUCGAGAUAUGGGCUGAACACUGAACAAUGUCUGGGUUGCAGGAUAGAUUCAGACUUCUCCGUUGUUGCUACAAAUUUGGACUUGAAAAUGGCCUUUUUAAAUCUUGAACUCCGCAUGAAAGUUUUAGGCCUAUGUCUUAGCUUUCCAUC
rnacentral:pre_miRNA from 1 species